rnacentral:rRNA from 1 species
UACGUAGGGUGCGAGCGUUAAUCGGAAUUACUGGGCGUAAAGCGUGCGCAGGCGGUUAUGUAAGACAGCUGUGAAAUCCCCGGGCUCAACCUGGGAAUUGCAUCUGUGACUGCAUAGCUAGAGUACGGUAGAGGGGGAUGGAAUUCCGCGUGUAGCAGUGAAAUGCGUAGAUAUGCGGAGGAACACCGAUGGCGAAGGCAAUCCCCUGGACCUGUACUGACGCUCAUGCACGAAAGCGUGGGGAGCAAACAGG